UGGGAACAUUGGGAUCAUACUGGGAUCAUACUGGGAUUGAACUGGGAUCAUACUGGGAUUAUACUGGGAUUAUACUGGGAUUGUAGUGGGAUUAUACUGGGAUUAUACUGGGAUUAUACUGGGAUCAUACUGGUUUAUACUGGUGCCCGCAGAGCACUGGGGCUGGGCUUGUGAAUGGGUUGGGGCACUGGGAUCAUACUGGGAUCAAACUGGGAUUGUACUGGGAUUAUACUGGGAUUAUAGUGGGAUCAUAUUGGUUUAUACUGGUUUAUACUGGGAUCAUACUGGUUUCUACUGGUGCACACAGAGCCGGUCUUGUAGAUGGGUUGGGGCACUGGGAUCAUACUGGGCUCAUUCUGGGAUCAUACUGGGACCAUACUGGUUUAUACUGGUUUAUACUGGUUUAUACUGGUUUGUACUGGUUUAUACUGGUUUCCACAGAUCCGCCGCCCUCGCUGCUGGCCCUGCGCGAGACCACCAAGAACCGGCUGCUGGUGGCCCAGGGGGCGCUGCUGCUGCUCUGCGCCGUGGGGCCGGGGCUGCUGCUGCUGCUCAGGGUAAGCCCCGCCCCCUGGGGUUAAGCCCCGCCCCCUGGGGUUAAGCCCCGCCCCCUGCGGUUUAGCCCCGCCCCCCUGGGAUUUAGCCCCCCCCCCCGAGGAGCUAGCCCCGCCCCCUUGGAGUCUCCCCCUACCCCAUAUUUGGUCUGGCCCCGCCCCCUUAUGCCCUGGCCACGCCCCCUUUGGGAUCUGGCCCCGCCCCCUUGGGACAUGGCCCCGCCCCCCUUUGGGCUCUGGCCCCGCCCCCUGACCCUUGGCCC
rnacentral:lncRNA from 1 species